GAUGAAGAACGCAGCGAAAUGCGAUAAGUAAUGUGAAUUGCAGAAUUCAGUGAAUCAUCGAAUCUUUGAACGCACAUUGCGCCCCUUGGUAUCCCGGGGGGCAUGCCUGUUCGAGCGUCAUUAUAACCCCUCAAGCUCAGCUUGGUGUUGGGGCCUGCCAACUGGCAGCCCUUAAAAUCAGUGGCGGCGCCAUCUGGCUCUAAGCGUAGUAAUUUCUCUCGCUAUAGGGUCCCGGUGGAUGCUGGCCAACAACCCCCAAUUUUCUAUGGUUGACCUCGGAUCAGGUAGGGAUACCCGCUGAACUUAAGCAUAUCAAUAAGCGGAGGA
rnacentral:misc_RNA from 1 species